UGCCGCUACACGAUCCAGGUGGCCUCGCCUAAAGGGGACACCAUUGAUGGGGACACCCCCUGAGCGGCCAUGCUCCAGCAUGGUGUAGACAUGUGCUCACGCCCCAGACCCCUUCAUUUCUCAGUAAAUCUAAGCAUCUUCCUCUUGUCCAUUCUCGUGUCUAUACAGAAAUAUCUAGGCAGAAACAGGUUCCCCACGAGUUUUAUUUUCUUCAUGGUUGCUUUCACAGUGACUACUCUAGCUUAUGUGCAGCUGCUUGAAUACAUGAGUGACCGUCUGCAUUGAAAAGACUUGUAAACCUCACGACAGGUUUCACGUUUUUGGUCAGGUCACUCUCAUUCUGCACAGGACAGGGAUCCAGAGCACUUUUAAGGAACCUUGUCCCAUAGAUCUGUGUGCGUUGACCUGAAACCGUUGAGCGGUGGUUGAGUCCCACUAACCGAGCAUGGAAAGGUCAAGGUCAUGGUUCUGGGGCGAUGGGGAUCCAUGGUGUCCACGUGUAAUGUGGUUUAGAGACACAGCAGUCUAAAUCUGAUCUGUCAUAUAAGCUACAUGGAGAGGACCCACACUGAGGAUGUGACACUCAACUGGGACAUGGAGAGCUGGGACCCUCUCUGCAGGACGUUCUCCACAAGGUUUGGACAUGGGUCAGGAGGGAGCAUAAAGCCCAGGGCUGUCACUGCUCUUCAUCAUCAUCUUCCUCAUCAGCAGGGAGCCUGAGGGCUGAGCUGUUGAUUUGCCACCUCCACACGGCCCUGGCUGAGUUCGAGCAGACAACUGUCAGCUCCUCCCAGUGGGGACCGGGGCUCCUGUCCUCUGCUCCCCAGCGUGGCGAGCACAGGGCGCUGCCCACAGGGACCCGUAACUGCCCUCGCUGAGCUCCACUAACUUAGCUCAACGGCCCUAGAGAGGGACAGAUGUCGGAUUUCACAGAAGGGGACAGGGUGGACACAGGGGUGAAACUAGGGGUGUGGGGGGGUCUCUGUGUCUCUGAGCACAAUAGUCACGAUGUGCCACAAGCACAGGAACACAGAAAGCGGCUCAGCCCUCGUGCCCUGCUUGUUCCCUGCAAACGUGGAACCUGCUUUAUUCCCUCCGCAGUCGUUUUUGAUGUGAGAUCUGAGA